rnacentral:lncRNA from 12 species
CUAUAACUAAAAUAUGAAAUCUAUUUUAAAUUAAAACUGAUAUUAUUAUUGUUAUUAAACACUGGUGAUAUUAAGUGAACAUUGAUUAAAACUGAAAAUAUAAAUGUGUAUAAAACACUUUACACCCAACUAUAAAUUCAUUUUGCGAUUGAAUCAUACACAUACAGUAAAUAUUUCCACAAAUCCUCAUUGCUAAUCAAAAUGUGAGAACAGCGAAAUCCUGAGUCCUCAUGCCCUCAAUUACUCUCCCACGGCUGACCCUCCAGAUGGCACUAUUGAAAAAAAUUCCACCCGUCCAUUGAAGAGCUCAAUUAAAAGCCCACGGACCAAUGACUAUUAUGACAAGCCUAUUGUCCCAUUUUCCUCUGAUUGGCUGGCUGUGGAUAUGUUUUGGUAUAAAAGAUGGGCUAGAUUGAGGGUCUUGUGUGGGAUUUGGUUUUGCCUCUGAAGAAGAGCCACACGGAUCUCUCAGCUUCAGAUAUUUAAAUUCUUAACCACCGAAACUCAACAUCAGCACCAAACAUGCCUUCCUACAUGGACAUCACCCCUCAAGACAACGUUCACUAUGCUAGGUGCAAACUCUACAGCUUGGAGAGAAAAUGUUUCAGCAAAGUGGAGAAACUGAAAUCUUCUUUUGAAGACCACCUCCAGCAUGGUAUUCCCACAUCCGACAUUUUGGAGAAGACUGUGUCCUUCUUCAGCUCAAAGAAGGCCUUAAUCUUCCCCAGCGGCUACUCCAGGUGUUCUCGUGAAAUUCUGCGUCUUUCUCCCACUCCAGAUCAGGACGUGGCGCCAUUGUUUUAAAGCCAACGUCCAUCACAGACUGACCUGCACAUGAAAAGGGUCAACAAGACAAGCACUUGAUCGGAUCUCAUGUGUUCGCACAUCUACCUCAGAGGAAAAUAGCACUUUGCUUGUUCUCUCUGGACUUUUUUUCCCCUCUAAAGGACUGAUCUUGUCAUUGCACAGUUUGUAAAGACAAGAAGAUCAGCUCACAGGGCUCAUAAUAGAAGCUGUGCAUUGAUUGUAAUGAAACCACCAAGCUGAGGAUGCAUUUUGUGCAUUUAGAUAUAAGAUUCCUCUGUAUUUUUCUCUUGAAGAGACAUUUACUGAAUGUUUUUAAAACCAUUUGACCAUGCUCUCUUUUUGAGGACAUGCUUAAACAGAACUUUAUUUCUUUUUUAAAGAUACAGUGUAUCAUUUGGUUAUUUUUGUGAUGAUUUUUUUAAUCAUUUGUAUAAUGCUCUAGUUUGUUUCUAUAAAAUAAAAGAUUUAAUUGCAUGUCUUCCUUUAAUUUUGUUAUUGGAAUGUGGGCAGAUUCAGAAAAAAAAAAAGAAAAAAAAAAACCUUGCUAUAUCUGCAAGCUUAGAAAACCAACUCCUUAAAUGUCUAAUCAUUUUAGCAGAACCCCAGUUCUGGUGCAUCAGCUUUUUAGGUUAUUAGUGUGUCUGAAUUACCUGUAAAGGACAAAGGUUGACCAAACCACUAUUUUACCUGAUUACAAUUAUAUGGACACAGAUAACAUGUCUUGCAGUAAGAGAAAUGUAUUUAUUUAUUAGUGUUUAAGGCAUACACGCAUUUACACAAGCAAAUUUAUAUCCACUUUUUCCAAACAAGCCAACUGCAUUUUAAAUUAUGGCAACAUUUCAGGUUUUGUUAAGUUCUCUUACCUCCACUCCCAGUGUUAAAACUUUUUUUUUUUCUAAUCACUAUUAGCAUUUUCUGUUGGAAUUGUUCUAUCAAAAUGAUGGAAAGUGGUUUGAAAUCCUGGAAAAUAACUGGUAAUCGCAACUUAGAUAUAGGCAUUCAUCUGCUGCUAGUAACACAACCGUUUCUUUAAAACUUUUGGGGUUAUUUAUGGGCGCUAAUAUGCUUUAAUUUAUUUGAGAGAGCUGUGUUAUGAUUCCCUUUGGUCUCCAAUAGUUAUGGGAUUGUAAAGAAUGUCACCUAGAUUUUAAAUGCAUUCCGUUUCGUGAAUAUUAAUUAUUUCUUUGGUAAGGAAUCAUAUAUA